rnacentral:rRNA from 1 species
UACGGGGGGUGCAAACGUUGCUCGGAAUUAUUGGGCGUAAAGCGCACGUAGGCGGUCUGUUAAGUCGGGUGUGAAAGCCCCGGGCUCAACCCGGGAAGUGCACUCGAAACUGACAGGCUUGAGUACGGAAGAGGGUCUCGGAAUUCCCGGUGUAGAGGUGAAAUUCGUAGAUAUCGGGAGGAACACCAGUGGCGGAAGGCGGAGACCUGGGCCGAUACGUGACGCUGAGGUGCGAAAGCGUGGGGAGCAAACAGGG